AGCUCCAAUAGCGUAUAUUAAAGUUGCUGCAGUUAAAAAGCUCGUAGUUGGAUUUGUGGCGCGGUCGUCCGGCGGGGCUUCCGGUUUCAUAGUAUCCCGGGGCCGUUUGUCUGGGUUCUUGGCCGCCCCAUUCUUCGGUUGCGUGUCGCUGGCAUUAGGUUGUCGGCUUCUUCGCGCCGAUCGUUUACUGUGAAAAAAUUAGAGUGUUCAAAGCAAGCGAUUUGCCCUGAAUACAUUAGCAUGGAAUAAUAGAAUAGGACCUGGUCUUAUUUUGUUGGUUUGUAUAAUUUCAGGUAAUGAUUAACAGGGACGGUUGGGGGCAUUUGUAUUCCGAGGCGAGAGGUGAAAUUCUUAGACCCUCGGAAGACAAACAGCUGCGAAAGCGUUUGCCAAGGACGUU
rnacentral:rRNA from 1 species